GGAGAGGUGCAUGAGUGGCUGAAAUGGCACGCCUGGAAAGCGUGUAUACCGCAAGGUAUCGAGGGUUCGAAUCCCUCUCUCUCCG
rnacentral:tRNA from 2 species